CUCUACUCCCUGCCCCAGCCA
rnacentral:miRNA from 2 species